AAUGAACGCUGGCGGCAGGCCUAACACAUGCAAGUCGAACGGAUCCUUCGGGAUUAGUGGCGGACGGGUGAGUAACGCGUGGGAACAUACCCUUUGGUACGGAAUAGCCUCGGGAAACUGGGAGUAAUACCGUAGGUGGUCGAGAGACGAAAGAUUUAUCGCCAAAGGAUUGGCCCGCGUUGGAUUAGGUAGUGGGUGGGGUAAUGGCCUACCAAGCCGACGAUCCAUAGCUGGUUUGAGAGGAUGAUCAGCCACACUGGGACGGAGACACGGCCCAGACUCCUACGGGAGGCAGCAGUGAGGAAUCUUAGACAAUGGGGGAAACCCUGAUCCAGCCAUGCCGCGUGAUCGAUGAAGGCCUUAGGGUUGUAAAGAUCUUUCAGGUGGGAAGAUAAUGACAGUACCACCAGAAGAAGCCCCGGCUAACUCCGUGCCAGCAGCCGCAGUAA
rnacentral:rRNA from 1 species